UUGACUCUAGUCUGACUCUGUGAAGAGACAUGAGAGGUGUAGCAUAAGUGGGAGGCCGUGAACCCUCGCGGUUGUGUCGUGCCGUCAGUGAAAUACCACUACUUUCAUCGUUUCUUUACUUACUCGGUGAAGCGGAAAGCGGACCAUGAGUGUCCACGCUUCUAGCACGAAGUGCAAGGCCCUUCGUUGGCCCGCACGAUCUGUUCCGAGGACAGUGUCAGGCGGGGAGUUUGACUGGGGCGGUACAUCUGUCAAAUGGUAACGCAGGUGUCCUAAGGCGAGCUCAGCGAGGACAGAAACCUCGCGUAGAGCAAAAGGGCAAAUGCUUGCUUGAUCUUGAUUUUCAGUACGAUUACAGACCGCGAAAGCGGGGCCCCUCGAUCCUUUUGACUUUAACUCUUUCAGGCACAGAAGUUUUGUUGAAAA
rnacentral:ncRNA from 2 species